UUUUACAUAUUUACUGCCUUCCUCUCCAAAUAGAUCAGCAUAAUACUUUUCUAUCUAAUUUUUCCUACAAUCUCCAUCACUAUACCUUAAUCUUCGGCAUAUUUCCAGUUUUUUCUACUACAACUUGUAAUGGCGGUGAUGAGAAGUUCGUCUGCGAGUCGGCGAAUGCUCCAACGAUUCCGUCUGCUCGUUCUCUAUGAAUCCGUGAAUAUUAAAUUAUUGCUCGGAUUUUGCAUUUUGUGUACCUUGGUUAGUUGAUUUUGCUCCUUUUUGGAGCCUCUACUUCAUUGCGAUGGCAGCAGCAUUACAAUUUUGCGUAUCAAUCUGAUUUCACAGGAAGGGAUACUGGACUCUGUACACAUUGUAUAAAGUUAGCCCAAUCCUCCUUCAGAAUCUCUUAUUCGUCACUUAGAGCAUGUUGUACUGACAAACUCAAAAAAUGGCUGAAAGUUUUGAAUGAAAUUCAACAUCAAUGAAGAGGAUCAGGACAAUUUAACUAAUAGAUUUACAAAAUUCAAGGAUUUGAAGACAUAUAUGGUCUUCUCUAUUGAUGAUAUCAUAUUCCCCUGUUCUCCUGUCGAGCUGGCUUUUAGUGUAGGGUUUGUGCCAAACAUGCACUGGCCAGAUUAAUCAGUGAAUUGUGAAGAUAUUGCUUUGUUGUUUCUUCUUGCAAACGUAACUGCUGAGCCUUCAAAUUGGGUGAAAGGUAUAGAUUGACUGGAAGAGUCAAAUGUAUCGCAUCAUAUUGAUUGUUGAGUGGGAGCAUCUAGAAUGAAUAAAUAAGAAAUUGAUUGAUUUGUGCAUGGUAUUUGCACUCUGAAAUUGGAUGGGGCACCAUUUCUUAUGCUAAGAAUUUGGACUAUGCUUCCAUUUUCCAAUAGACUGUUUAACAUUAACUUUGAGACCGAUGAAAACAACUCAACUGUCAAAAGACCAUAUAUGGAAGUUGCGUUGCUUUUUCCGAAGAAUAAAGAAGUCUAAUGCGAGUGAUCAUGACCAACAUUAUUUGGGAUGUAUUAACCCUAUUACCUUUAAGCUGAAGUUCACUCAGGCUUCAAUUUCUGAAGCUGCGUACCAGUAGCAUGGAAUAAGAAUGAUAACAUUCUGAUUUCUUACAGUCUUGCUCCAGUGUUUGCUUGUCAAAUAACGUCUUCUACAACUAUUGUGCUAUUGCAACCGAUUUACUGAUGUUUCAAGCAGCGGUUCCUCCCUGUUUCAUAGAAAAUAACUAAUAUUAUAAAUUUUCAGUUUGACGCCUUGAAUUCAGAAUUUCAAGCUUCGGUUCCUCACUGUAGUUUUGUUGUCUGUUACUUUUGCGUCGAAAGUUUAAGAUUUUUAAUGCCCUUAUUGCAGGCAAGAUAUUUGAGACCGGUUCUACUGGAAUAAGUAACUUGGGAGGUCACAGCAAUUUGAAUGCCUUAUCAGGUUCGUUCCUGAGUUUGUGAAAAUGUCUUUGGUUUCAACUUCCAUGUAAGUUAUUGAUCGCUGAUACAUAUGGUUUUCGUAAUUUUUAGCUUAUCUUUACACCUUUUAAUUUUGAUCUGCAUAGUUGACUCUGUCACUUUUUUUUAAGGUUGAUCCCAUAAUCUCGUACUAUAUCUGGAUUCUUAAUCACGCUUAAAAAAGAAAAUCUGAAAUAGUGUAGGGUUCUUGAUAUCAAAAAGAUCAGUUGUUCAAUUCUUGCACUUGUGAUCCCCACCACCUAAACCAUAUCAAUGUACUACUUUCUUUGGCGGGUGAAAUUUUUGGAAGCCAUUUUCGGUAACUGAGUCAGCAGUUCAUCUUUUCUUAAAAUUUCCAGAAAGUGUAUGAAAAUGGAAUCACUAGAUCUAUAGAAGAUUCAGACUUCUGUCUGGAGGAUCUCUCUUGCCAACUAAUCUGAUGUGCUCCUGUAGGGUCAUAGUGCCAUAAAAAUAUCUAUAGGAGAAAAUUGAGUUAUAUUUUCUCUAGAUUAAGUCUAUGUGACGCAGCAGAGUUAUGCUUUCUUGUCGUACUUUUUUAUAAUUUUUGUCGUUGAAUGUAUUGUCUAAUCUUAGCCAAUUUCUUAUCCAGUAACUAUGGUUGUUAUGUAUUAUGCUUAGAAGGGGCCCUUAUGAGUUGAACAAAAUUUAUCAUGUGUGAAACAUAAACUAGUGAAACAUAAGCUUACACUUUAGUUCUAGAUAAGGUGGCUUGAGAAUAAUCAUAAAGGUCGGAUAUUAAAGGUGGCCACUUAAUAAGGACAAAUAAAAGUGCAUCGUCGUCUUAUUAUCAAUUAUCGUUGCUUUGUGAAAAAAAAAAUUCUUGAAUUUUGAAGAUCUUAGUAGAUAAUUAUGUAGAUAUUCUUUAAUAAUAGUAAAACUCAAAACCAAAGAACAAUUUGAGGACUGGGGUAGGUAGGCCAUGUAGUCUUGCCAACUUGGAGAAGGAAGUUCUAUCAUUUACACUUCUCAGCCUGCUGUGAGGCUGCACCUAUGUGCUGUUAAUUGAUGAUAAUGGAAGAUGUGGUCCUGUGAACUAACCAAAUUAUUGAACGGAAAGUGAUUGACAGCAUGAGUGUCCUUCCCAUAUCUCGGGUUCAAGGACCGGAUUUCCUCUGAUGCAAGGCAUAUAAUUGUUGAAGUGCAGAAGAUCAAAAUUUUGCAGGUGGACAUAAGGAUGGGUGAAUGGGUGCUUGGUUGUUGAAGGCGAGAUAUAAGAUGCAAUAGAAGGAAAUGUUCAAUUUUGAUUGGUUAAGCCGUAAGCUUUUUGUUUUGUUUUCUUUUUAGAACACUCCAAUUUAGGGCUUUUUUUUUAAGGUAUCCUGCCUAUUUAUUAACUAAGCUAGUUGACAUCUGCUAAUCAAUACUUAAGUAAGUCGUGCACGAGUUGCAUACUAUUGUUAUUGGUUGUUUGAUGUAACAUUUUUACAACUGAACUGAAGUUUGUAAGGAUAUGAGUGUGACUCUAAAAGUCUUCAAUUUAAAGUCAGUCUUUGAGGUAUUUUCCAGUGAUGCCAGCUUUAA